UACGUAGGGGGCAAGCGUUAUCCGGAUUUAUUGGGCGUAAAGCGCGCGUAGGCGGAUCGGCAAGUCCGGAGUGAAAUCCCGCCGCUCAACGGCGGGGCUGCUUUGGAAACUGCAGGUCUAGGGAGCGGUAGAGGUCGGUAGAAUUCCCGGUGUAGCGGUGGAAUGCGUAGAGAUCGGGAAGAAUACCCGUGGCGAAGGCGGCCGAACUGG
rnacentral:rRNA from 1 species